rnacentral:rRNA from 1 species
UACGUAGGGUGCGAGCGUUAAUCGGAAUUACUGGGCGUAAAGCGUGCGCAGGCGGUUCUGAAAGUCAGCUGUGAAAGCCCCGGGCUUAACCUGGGAAUUGCGGUUGAAACUACAGGGCUAGAAUCUGGCAGAGGGGGGUGGAAUUCCACGUGUAGCAGUGAAAUGCGUAGAGAUGUGGAGGAACACCGAUGGCGAAGGCAGCCCCCUGGGCUAACACUGACGCUCAGGCACGAAAGCGUGGGGAGCAAACAGG